rnacentral:lncRNA from 1 species
CUGAUAAUGAAGAUGGGGAUUCGAGUGAUGAUUCUAGUAACGAUUCGAGUGAUGAUUCUGUUGAAAUCAUAGAUGACAUUAAUUUUGUAAUAUAUUGUAAUGUGAUUUCUUCACUUUCUACGUUCAAAUAAAACACGACGUUAUUGUGAACCAGUUAUUCAGCAUAUUUACCGACGUCUUAAAGCAACGUAACAAUGAAGAACCACGACGCUAUUGUGAAGCAAUUAUUCAGGAUAUCACGUCGGGGAAGGAUGAAGAAC